GGUUUUCAGGUCCCAUGGAAUUUCCUCCCCCAAGAGUUAGUGAUGGCUACCUACUUGGGUGGCUUUAAAAGAUAAUUCAUGGAGGACAAGGCUAUCGGUGGCCACUAGCCAUGAUGGCGUCAGCGUCUACCUCCACUGUCAGAGGCAGAACAUCAGUUGCUAAUUUCAGAUGGGAAGAAUGCUGCUUGACUGGAGCUGAGGGGCAUCCAACAACAUCCGAAGGACCUCAGAUUCCCUGAUGAUGAGAGGCCAGUUUAAGACAGCAGAAGAUGAAAACCAACCAAACUGUUGUCCAUCUACACUGUUUUUGGUGGUGCUCAAGCUCAACUUGCUCUGGUAAAACUGAAGGACUUGCUACAACACUGACUUCUCAAUAGGAACAGAUGCUGAGUUGAAUGACUUAUCAAGAUCCUGUGAACUGCUAUAUGAUUGAAGCCAGGUGUUCUAGGGCUAUUUAUCUAUUUUAAUACUAUCCACGUCUAAUGUCACAUGGACUCUUAUGACCAUCAUUAAUGAAAUCUGGAGGAGUUACCAUUGCCUUGCAGUUGCUCAUGUAGAUUAGAAUCCCACCCUUGUGCUUGUCAUCUUGUCAAGGAUACAGACAAUGAAGCUGAUACAGGCAAACUCACAUUAAUUUAAUCAAUAAUAAAAUUGGAUCUUAAAUUUAAGCACAUUUUCUCCAAGUAACACGUCAGCUGAGGAUCAAAGUGAUUGGAGUGUCACUUGAAGCAAAAAAAGGUAUUCUGAGAUGGGGGAACCUUUCUGAAUCUAUUGUGAUCUAGUUAACUGAUGACAGAUUGUCAGACUGCGUGGGAUAGGGUUUCUAGCAUUGCAGAAAGCAAAUAUGAAGCGUAACUAUUAUUUAGGGUAAGAAUAUGGUCUUCCUAUUUACCAUGGGCAUUAUAUAGGUAGGAUGAACUGAUGGUGAUUCAGGUGCCCUCCAGAUGGUCAGUAUUUUGUGGGAGGGAUUCAAGCACAUACUAAACGUUCAGGUUUGCGCUGUGAGUUAAGGAGCAGCAAAACCCUUUAAAUAAAAACAAAAACAGUCCUUUGGUGGUUUAGAAAGGUUCACAAAAGGGCCACCGAAAUGAUCAGGAAGAUGGAACAACUCCUGUAUGAGGAAAGGUUGCAGCAUUUGGGACCUUCCAGUUUAGUGAAAUAGUACAAAGUGACAUGAUAGAAGUUUAUGAAAUUAUGGCUGGAGAAAGUGGGCAGAAAAGAGUUUUUCUCCCUCUCUCAUAACACUAGAAUUCGUGGGGGCAUCUUAUUAUGAAGCUGAAUGUUGGAAGAUUCAGGACGUAUAAAAGGAAGUCCUUUUUCACACAGCACAUAGUUAAACUAUGGCACUCGCUCCCGCAAGAGGCAUUGAUGGCCACCAACUUGGAUGGCUUUAAAAUUUACAGGGGAGAAGGCUGCCUGGGGCUACUAGCAGUGAUGGCUAUGCUCUGCCUUCAUGGUCUGAGCAGUAAUGUUUCCGAAUACCAGUUCCUGGAAACCAGAGGAAGGGAGAGUGCUAUAGCGCUCAGGUUCUUGCCUGUGUGUUUCCCGUGGGCACCUGGUGCCUUGGUGCCCAUGGGCAGCACACUGGGUACCACAUUGUGCAGCCACCCCAAAUCAUUCUGCGUUCCUUCAGCCUGCUUUUUUGAGCAAUGCAUUGUCUGCAGUGCAGUUGUCCCAAGUCCAACUCAGUAUGGUCUCUCUAAACCACCAUUCUGAUUUGCCCUUGGGUAGUUGCGUUAUAACCAAUAAAUUCCUUAAAAAGAAAAUAGAGAGGUGAAGGACAGAAACCUGAAGGAAAGUAACCUGACCGUAAGUGGAAGCCAGCUGAGAUGUUUGAAGAAGUAGAAGUUAAACCCGUGGGUCCUUUUAACAAUGUAUUUGGGUGGGAGGGAAUGUUGAGGAUAAAGUUAUCCCAUUUAAGAUAUGAGGGGGAUUACAUUAACUUGAUUCUAUUCUCUCAUUGAGCUCUUUAUUCUUGUUAAAGGCAUUAAGAACCUUUUAUUCAGAAACAGGCGGGUGGGGGGUGGAUGGCUGCAAGAUCUAAACUUAUGUAAAUUGUUCUUCAAAGAAACGAAGCAACCUCUUCUGUUUAAUCCCCAGAGUUUUGAAAUGGACCUGUGCAAUCUGGAAUAUGGUGUGCUUGAAGCCAGGCGCAGGUUUAUUGCAGAAAAGGGUAUAGGGGAUUUAAACAGGAGGGCCCCUGCCAGAAGCAGGAGCAGCCAGAUAGAACAGAAAUUCCAAAGAUGCAUUGGGCUGUUUCUGACUAUAGUUUUGAUCCCCCCCUGCAGCCCACCCCAAGUCAUUUCUAGGAUAAAAGGUAAUGCUGGAAAGGUUUUCGCCUUUUGGGUUACUGCGGUCUCUUUCUCACUUUCCAGUAAUUUGACAUCAUAGCACAGAAAGGGGGAUUGUGAACCCACCCAUGGGUGCCUUAAUUCACACUGUUGUGUGGCUCUUUACCUCAGCUGAUCUGUAUCCAGUUGAGAGGGAAAUGCUCCUACCACCAUCAGUGACAAAUAGGACCACUGAGAAAUAGUUUGAUUGUUUGCUGGACUCACACAUGUUGUUCAGUGUGAUUCAUCCACAGUGGCUGCAACAUUCUCCCUUGCAUAUGCAUGCUGUUUCUCUCUAACGGCUCGGGCUUGCACCCUGGGCAAUGCCUCUCAUUGUGCAGGAUGCGUAUGGGAAGGGCGCCUGUGUCUGCUCCUAAGUCAUAUGCAGAAAUCCUGGAGAUGAAGGCUUAAGUCCUACACACACUUAAUUUGAGAAUAAGUCUGAUUGAACUCAGUGGGGCUUACUUCUGAGUAAAACAAGCUUGUGGCACAUUUAUUGGGAUUGCGCUGUCAAACUCUUUUGACCCCCUUUCGUCAUAGCAUUAGUUGCUUAUGUGCAUGUUGUCUUUUGACCAAAACAUUAAUAGGACUAGAAGUAAUUUUUGGACAGCUGGUAUAAAAGCACUACUUACCCCCAAACAAGCACCCAACCCUGAUAUUUUGUGGAUGAUCCUAAAAUUUGGGCGGCAACGGCCUGGUUUGCAGACCACCCAUAGCCAAUCCAUGGCUUUGUGUGAAUGUGCAGGAGAGGAGAUUGUGCGUGCUUGGCUGCUCCGUGGUCAUCCUGCUGCUGCCCUGAGCUAAGCCAUGGUUUGCCUUAAUGUGCCAUCCAAAACCCGGCUUGUGGUUUAGCUGUAGCCAGGGAUUGUCCUGUGGUUUAUGGGUUGUGGUUUGUCCAGGACAGCUAAACCAUAAGCUUGGGUUCCGAAGACACGUUAAGCCACACCAUGGCUUAACUCAGUACAGCAGAAAAUAAGCCAGCGAGGAGCAAAGGGCUGCGAUCCCUUUUCCUGGAGAUGCACACUUGCAUGUUUGUGCUAAGCUGUAGUUUGGCAUGUCAUGCUGCGUGAAGCCAACCAAUACAGAGGAGCUGUUAUUGGAAGGAUGCAUCCAGAAAAAAUAAGAUAUUGAAAUACAUGUCAGCAGGUUUCCUUGUUACAGAGUCGCUGAAGCUCUAACCAUUUGCAGUUCUAGAAUGUUUGGAAGAUCAGGUUUCUGAAGUCCUCCUUGGGCAUUAUUGCCUGAAGAGGGAACACAGGUGGUAGAGCAGGGCAGUGGGGGCACAUGUUUAACCCUGGCCCCACGUGACUCCUCCAGUCCCUCUGCAUGCGUACAGUGAACCUCUUCAGCGGGGAGCCUUGUGCAUCCAUGGAGGCUCUGCUUCUUAGCUGGAACCCUGGAAAAAGAGGACUCAUACUAUGAACAUGUGAAGGGGGCAGAAGUAAAACUGCAGCCCCCCCCCAUCGGUGUUCCCUCUUGGGGCAAUAAUUCCUGGAGAGAGCUUGACUCUUUACUUCUGUUUCUGUUCUAAGUCACUUGUACCAUACUUCUUAGAAAAAAUUCCAGAUCAUGUUGACUGCCCAUGCCAGUUAAGAGUGAAUGCCGCAAGCUUCUGUGAAUCUUAAUUUGUGUGGUGACGUUGCACGUAAUGCAACCCAGGGGUAUAAAUAAGAAAGUUCUUGUUGUUGUUGUUACUACAUGUGUGGUGAUUGAAUCUAGGGUUUUGCAAGGUGGCUGUGCUUGCAAUAUUUCCAUAUCCCUCUGUGCUUGCAUAAUCAUUUUCUGCCUCCUUUCUGCCUGCAGGACCACAGUAACCUUGUGCGGCACUGAGAUGUUUACAUGUUGAACCCCUUGUCCUUAAGAAGAUAGCAUUCCCCCGGGGAAGGGGAAGACCCUUUUUGAAUGUGAACUUUGCUGGCUAGGUCUAUGGGCAUAAAAAAAAGAGCCCCCCUGAAACUUAGUGGGGAGCAUUCCUGACAAAUCUCUGCUGGAAGGGCGGACCACACAUGGGACUGGCAACACUAAAUGUUGAUGCCCAGAUGAGGCCAGUCAGACCUCUGUAACACAGGGGACAACUGGCGGUGCUCCUCUGGAUGAUUUCUGUGAUCAGGCUGGGAGUUAGAGAUCAAUCAGUCCUUAGGAUGCUUUUUACGCUUGUCCUUGUUUGAUGAAAUUUAUUAAACCUUGAAAGUUCACCUGAAGAUGUCAUUGUUUGGGUCUUGAGCUUUGAAUGAGCUUGGUCUGAUGCAGCUGCUGGAAAGGCAGGAUUAGACUGCCUUGCACAGUGCACUCCACGACUCCCAUUUUGCAAACACUCACCAAAGGCCCUGAAGAACUGGGAGGCACCCGAUUUGGAAAAGGUCAGUUAGAUCAUCCACUCCAGGGAUGUGUCUCUCUGGCUUGUGUAUUAAUCACAUAUCCCAGCCACGGAAAUCUAAGCCCUCACAGCUCUAGCCAAGAAGAAUUACUCGUCAGAGUUCUGCCGUGCCUCCAGUUGGAGAGGGGCCCUUGCCUCCAGGCAGCCAUACGAGGUGAAAAGGCAAUGGUUUCUCCACCCUCAGAGGGUGGACUGACUUGGCACAGGGAGAAAAGCUCCCUGCCCUUUUUGAGGCUGGGUGGUUAGGGAAGGCUCCCCACCCUUUCCUGUUCCUACCAGGGUGAAGGCUUAUGGUAAAGAACCAAGCUUGCUGCCUUAGGCCCAACUUGGCCCUCUAGGCCUCUCUAUUACUCUCUCAGAAUUCUCCCCUGUCCACAUCCCUCACCAAGCCUACUUCAUGUGCAGAGGAGGGCAACCAAGAUGGUCAAGGAUCUGGAAACCAAGCCUUAUGAAGAAUGUUUGAAGGAGCUGGGUAUAUUGUGCCUGGAAAGAUGAGACUGAGAGGAGAUAUGAUAACCACUUUCAAAUAUCUCAAAUCCUGUCACAUGGAAGUUGGAGCAAGCUUGUUUUCUCCGGCUCUGGAGGGUAGUCUUGAACCAAUGGCUUUAAGUUACAAGAAAGGAAAUUCCAACUAAGCAUACAGAAAACUUUCUGACAGAGCUGUUCAACAGUGGAACCAUCUCCCUCAGAAUUGGAUGGGCUCUCAUUCCUUGGAGGUUUUUAAGCAGAGGUUGGAUGGCCAUCUGUUGUGGGUGCUUCAGUUGAGAUUCCUGCAUUGCAGGGGGUUGGAUUAGAUGAUCCUCAUGGUCCCUUCCAACUCUACAAUUCUAUGAAUCAUAUCCUCCUUAUGUUUUUUUGCCUAGCUGGAAGGUGUCUGAGCUCUCGCUUGACCAGAUGGAGGCUAGAAAGGGUUGUCUGUAUAAACUAGGCUACACCAUUCAUUGCUUUACCUGCUUUUUGCCUCUGGCUCUGCCUACCACUGUCAUGUGGCCUGUGGAAGGUUUCCCCAGAUGGCAGUGUGGCCUUCAUUCUU
rnacentral:lncRNA from 1 species